UAGUCCACGCCGUAAACGGUGAGUACUGGGUGUGGGAGGAAUCGACCCCUUCCGUGCCGAAGCAAACGCAUUAAGUACUCCGCCUGGGAAGUACGGUCGCAAGACUGAAACUCAAAGGAAUUGACGGGGGCCCGCACAAGCGGUGGAGCAUGUGGUUUAAUUCGAUGCAACGCGAGGAACCUUACCGGGGCUUAAACGUAUAGGAAAAGCAGGGGAAACCCUGUGUGCCUUCGGGCGUCUAUGCGAGGUGCUGCAUGGCUGUCGUCAGCUCGUGUCGUGAGAUGUUGGGUUAAGUCCCGCAACGAGCGCAACCCUUGUUGUUAGUUACCAGCGGAUAAUGCCGGGGACUCUAGCAAGACUGCCCACGCAAGUGGGAGGAAGGUGGGGAUGACGUCAAGUCCUCAUGGCCCUUACGUCCCGGGCUACACACGUGCUACAAUGGCCGGUACAAAGUGUCGCAAGACCGCGAGGUGGAGCUAAUCACAAAAGCCGGCCCCAGUUCGGAUUGCAGUCUGCAACUCGA
rnacentral:rRNA from 1 species